UAUAGGGACUGUAGGAACUCUAGGCACCGCGAAAGAUGAUGGAACUCUUAGAAAUGUAGGAACGGUGAGAGUUAUAGGGACUGUAGGAACUCUAGGCACCGCGAAAGAUGAUGAAAUUCCUAGAGAUGUAGGAACGGUGAGAGCUAUAGGGACUGUAGGAACUCUAGGCAUCGCGAAAGAUGAUGGAACUCUUGAGAUGUAGGAACGGUGAGAGUUAUAGGGAUUGCAGGAACUCUAGUCACCGUGAGAGAUAAUGUAACUCUCAAGUUUAUUCUGAUGUGAAUACGGAGGAAAGCUCGGUAUGGGUGUGCCCAAGUGGGGAGACGUUCGAAAUGUUGGAAUAUUAACAACAAAAUAUGCACCCAUUAUGAUUUCAAGCACGAAUUCUACAUAUCAU
rnacentral:misc_RNA from 1 species